rnacentral:rRNA from 1 species
GACGAACGCUGGCGGCGUGCUUAACACAUGCAAGUCGAACGGAAAGGCCCUGCUUUUGUGGGGUGCUCGAGUGGCGAACGGGUGAGUAAAACGUGAGUAACCUGCCCUUGACUUUGGGAUAACUUCAGGAAACUGGGGCUAAUAUCGGAUAGGAGCUCCUGCUGCAUGGUGGGGGUUGGAAAGUUUCGGCGGUUGGGGAUGGACUCGCGGCUUAUCAGCUUGUUGGUGGGGUAGUGGCUUACCAAGGCUUUGACGGGUAGCCGGCCUGAGAGGGUGACCGGCCACAUUGGGACUGAGAGACGGCCCAGUCUGCUACGGGAGGCAGCAGUGGAGAAUAUUGCACAAUGGGCGGAAGCCAGAUGCAGCAACGCCGCGUGCGUGAUGACGGCCUUCGGGUUGUAAACCGCUUUCGCCUGUGACGAAGCGUUAGUGACGGUAAUGGGUAAGGAAGCACCGGCUAACUACGUG